rnacentral:rRNA from 1 species
UACCAGCACCCCGAGUGGUCGGGACGAUUAUUGGGCCUAAAGCAUCCGUAGCCGGUCCUGCAAGUCUUCCGUUAAAUCCAGCUGCUCAACAGAUGGGCUGCGGGGGGAUACUACAGGGCUAGGAGGCGGGAGAGGCAAGCGGUACUUUAUGGGUAGGGGUAAAAUCCGUUGAUCCAUAGAAGACCACCAGUGGCGAAGGCGGCUUGCCAGAACGCGCUCGACGGUGAGGGAUGAAAGCUGGGGGGAGCAAACCGGG